rnacentral:rRNA from 1 species
GACGAGGGGUCCAAGCGUUGCUCGGAAUCAUUGGGCGUAAAGCGGGUGUAGGCGGCUCUAUAAGUCAGAAGUGAAAGCCCCGGGCUUAACCUGGGAAGUGCUUUUGAUACUGCAGAGCUUGAAUGUGGGAGAGGGUAGUGGAAUUCCAGGUGUAGUGGUGAAGUACGUAGAUAUCUGGAGGAACACCGGUGGCGAAGGCGGCUACCUGGCCCAACAUUGACGCUGAGACCCGAAAGCAUGGGGAUCAAACAGG